rnacentral:rRNA from 1 species
UCCCGCAACGAGCGCAACCCUUGCCUUUAGUUGCCAGCAGUUCGGCUGGGCACUCUAAAGGGAACUGCCGGUGGUUAAACCGGUAGGAAGGUGGGGAGUGACGUCAAGUCCUCAUGGCCUUUAUGACCAGGGCUACACACGUACUACAAUGGCCGAUACAAAGGGCAGCGACACUGCGAGGUGAAGCCAAUCCCGUAAAAUCGGUCUCAGUCCGGAUUGGAGUCUGCAACUCGACUCCAUGAAGUUGGAAUUGCUAGUAAUCGUGGAUCAGCAUGCCACGGUGAAUACGUUCCCGGGCCUU